GUGAGGAAUAUUGGUCAAUGGACGGAAGUCUGAACCAGCCAUGCCGCGUGCAGGAAUAAGGUCCUAUGGAUUGUAAACUGCUUUUAUUCGGGAAUAAACCUCUUUACGUGUAGGGAGCUGAAGGUACCGAAGGAAUAAGCACCGGCUAACUCCGUGCCAGCAGCCGCGGUAAUACGGAGGGUGCAAGUGUUAUCCGGAAUCAUUGGGUUUAAAGGGUCCGCAGGCGGGCUAUCAAGUCAGAGGUGAAAUCCCACAGCUUAACUGUGGAACUGCCGUUGAAACUGAUGGUCUUGAAUUAAGUGGGCGUUGGCGGAAUAUGACAUGUAGCGGUGAAAUGCAUAGAUAUGUCAUGGAACACCGAAAGCGAAGGCAGCUAACGAUACUUAUAUUGACGCUCAUGGACGAAAGCGUGGGUAGCGAACAGGAUUAGAAACCCUUGUAGUCC
rnacentral:rRNA from 1 species